UUUUCUUUAGCAAUAAUAAUUUCUUUGAGGUAUUAUUUAAUUGACGUCAGUUUUCAACACUUUCACGGAUCUUUGGUAUACGUAUAUUUUGCUUGACGCUUCUUUAUAUGUGCAGCUGUGCGUAUUUUGAAUUAUUCACAAAACGUACAAAAUAUUUAAAAACAGAUGCAAUUGCAAAUGCAAAUUGCGAUACAAUAAUAAACACAUGACGGACAAGAGAAAAUUACGAGAAACAAGUUCGAAGUAAAGUCUGUCAGAUUCCUGAUGACAGUUUAACCUAUCAGAUAAACGCUGGCGAUGAGAAAGGAUAUGAGAUUACGAAGAUUUCAAUAAAAACAGUGAACCUAAAAUUGACAUUAAAGACACAAAAAGAUUUUUAAAGAAAGGAUUUUCGGUCCUAAACUGUACGUUAACGCAGAAAUAUGUCCCACAAGAAGUAACCUUCAAAUGGUACAUUUGCCAAUUUGAUAUCUGUGAUGAAGAUAUGAACGAGAGAAAAUACAUUUCAUCCAACUAUUCUUUAACAGUAAAGAUAGAGGGCAGGUAUCGUUGUAGUGCCAACAAUAGCGGUGGAAUAGAUACGUCACCAAUAAUAUCAGUUGUCAAAGAAUCCAAACAAACAGGAUUUGGAAGAUAAUGAAAAAAUAAGAAAAUUAGAAAAAGUCACUGAAAGUUUCGAAGAUGGAGGCAGAAAUUGAUUUU